GACGAACGCUGGCGGCGUGCCUAAUACAUGCAAGUAGAACGCUGAAGGAGGAGCUUGCUUCUCUGGAUGAGUUGCGAACGGGUGAGUAACGCGUAGGUAACCUGCCUGGUAGCGGGGGAUAACUAUUGGAAACGAUAGCUAAUACCGCAUAAUAGUAGAUGUUGCAUGACAUUUGCUUAAAAGGUGCAAUUGCAUCACUACCAGAUGGACCUGCGUUGUAUUAGCUAGUUGGUGAGGUAACGGCUCACCAAGGCGACGAUACAUAGCCGACCUGAGAGGGUGAUCGGCCACACUGGGACUGAGACACGGCCCAGACUCCUACGGGAGGCAGCAGUAGGGAAUCUUCGGCAAUGGACGGAAGUCUGACCGAGCAACGCCGCGUGAGUGAAGAAGGUUUUCGGAUCGUAAAGCUCUGUUGUAAGAGAAGAACGAGUGUGAGAGUGGAAAGUGCACACUGUGACGGUAUCUUACCAGAAAGGGACGGCUAACUACGU
rnacentral:rRNA from 1 species